GAGCUAAAAGUCAAAAUUUUGUCAUUUAACUGUUAAUUAAAUAUAUGUGAAUCUUAUCCUCACUUAGCUCA
rnacentral:tRNA from 1 species